AAUAUAUCAUGAUGUGCUUUAAGUCUACAGACUUUACUCUGAGCCUGAUAGUGCUUUCUGUCAACGAAAUCUCCAUAGAUUGCUUCCUUUUAUGGAUGAUGUCCUCGAGAAAAUUUAUUAUUAUAAUAUGUUUCCUGAUUCUUAGUCUGUAUCCAAAUAAGAUUAGUGAGUUUUUCAUACUCAUAUUUGGUUAUGUCUUGAUUGCAGGUCAAAUAUUUAUUGCUGAUUACAGUUUCCAAGGGCUUCACCAAUUCGAAAGGUGCUCUCGCAAACCCGCUAUCCCCUACCAAGGAUCCUCUCGGGAGGAUUGAUCGUGGUGCCAUUCAAAUUUUCUACUUUGAGCGCUGCUUCCAGGUGACACAAACCACUGAUAGUUGUUUGCUUCCUCUUAUCUACCUACUGUGGGAUCUGAGGAUUGUGCCCUUUUGUUGUGGUAUUGGACAUAUACUAUCAAGCAUGUGGUGCAAUGGUUGUAUUCGAGUGCUUUUGCUUCAAGCUACUAUCAGCUGCUUAGUUCUGUAGUUUCUUUCGUCAUGUGGUGUGCUUCUUCGGAAAAAAAGAUUUGUGUAUAUAUUUCUGAUUUACUACUGGUUUGUUUCACUCUUAUUAUCAGUGCUAUGUGCAAUAAUUCCCCGAUACUUAUUAUGGAUCAGAGGGAGUAUUAGUUA